rnacentral:rRNA from 1 species
CACGUAGGGCGCAAGCGUUGUCCGGAAUUAUUGGGCGUAAAGAGCUCGUAGGCGGUCUGUUGCGUCCGCUGUGAAAACUCGGGGCUUAACCCCGAGCCUGCAGUGGAUACGGGCAGACUAGAGGUAGGUAGGGGAGAAUGGAAUUCCCGGUGUAGCGGUGAAAUGCGCAGAUAUCGGGAGGAACACCGGUGGCGAAGGCGGUUCGCUGGGCCUUACCUGA